rnacentral:rRNA from 1 species
UACGUAGGGUGCAAGCGUUGUCCGGAAUUAUUGGGCGUAAAGAGCUCGUAGGCGGUCUGUCGCGUCGGCUGUGAAAACUCGGGGCUCAACCCCGAGCCUGCAGUCGAUACGGGCAGACUAGAGUGCUGUAGGGGAGACUGGAAUUCCUGGUGUAGCGGUGAAAUGCGCAGAUAUCAGGAGGAACACCGAUGGCGAAGGCAGGUCUCUGGGCUGUAACUGACGCUGAGGAGCGAAAGCAUGGGGAGCGAACAGG